UACAGAGGGGGCAAGCGUUAUUCGGAAUUAUUGGGCGUAAAGGGCGCGUAGGCGGCAUGGCAAGUGGAAGGUGAAAUCCCUCGGCUCAACUGAGGAACUGCCCUCCAAACUGCUUUGCUUGAGUCCGGGAGAGGUGAGUGGAAUUCCCAGUGUAGCGGUGAAAUGCGUAGAUAUUGGGAGGAACACUAGUGGCGAAGGCGGCUCACUGGACCGGAACUGACGCUGAGGCGCGAAAGCGUGGGGAGCAAACGGG
rnacentral:rRNA from 1 species